UACGGAGGGUGCAAGCGUUAUCCGGAUUCACUGGGUUUAAAGGGUGCGUAGGAGGGCAGGUAAGUCAGUGGUGAAAUCCUCGAGCUUAACUCGGAAACUGCCGUUGAUACUAUCUGUCUUGAAUACCGUGGAGAUGAGCGGAAUAUGUCAUGUAGCGGUGAAAUGCUUAGAUAUGACAUAGAACACCAAUUGCGAAGGCAGCUCGUUACACGAAUAUUGACUCUGAGGCACGAAAGCGUGGGGAUCAAACAGG
rnacentral:rRNA from 1 species